rnacentral:snoRNA from 1 species
CCUCCUUACGUUGGCACUCUGUCACCUCUGUGGUGAUGAUGUGAAUGCUUUGGGGAGGAAAAUUAAUCGAGGAAUAUGCCUUCGGUGUCAAAACUAGUGUUUUGGUUCCAUCCUCAAAGUCCUGUAUAUAA